UUUGAUCGGAGGCAGGGGGUGGUCUCCAAUCAAACAGAGAAAAGGUCCUGGAGAAGUUUUCUUAUCUGGAGUCAAAGCUUCAUGACAAUUUCAAAGAAAGGAAAAUAAAGAACGAUCUUCUGGCAGAUAGGUGACUCCACCACUACAUUGCAGCAGUACUAUGGUAUAAACGCAUUAAGGUACACAGCCUGAAG